ACGGAGGAUGCAAGCGUUAUCCGGAUUCAUUGGGUUUAAAGGGUGCGCAGGCGGAAUGAUAAGUCAGUGGUGAAAUCCUACAGCUCAACUGUAGAACUGCCAUUGAUACUGUUGUUCUUGAGUACACUUGGAGUGGGCGGAAUGUGUCAUGUAGCGGUGAAAUACUUAGAUAUGACACACAAGACCGAGCGCGGAGGCAGCACACGAAAUUGUAUCUCACACUCUUGCACGUAAGUGUUGGGUUGAGACAG
rnacentral:rRNA from 1 species